rnacentral:rRNA from 1 species
GAUGAACGCUGGCGGCGUGCCUAAUACAUGCAAGUCGAGCGAACGGACGAGAAGCUUGCUUCUCUGAUGUUAGCGGCGGACGGGUGAGUAACACGUGGAUAACCUACCUAUAAGACUGGGAUAACUUCGGGAAACCGGAGCUAAUACCGGAUAAUAUUUUGAACCGCAUGGUUCAAAAGUGAAAGACGGUCUUGCUGUCACUUAUAGGUGGAUCCGCGCUGCAUUAGCUAGUUGGUAAGGUAACGGCUUACCAAGGCAACGAUGCAUAGCCGACCUGAGAGGGUGAUCGGCCACACUGGAACUGAGACACGGUCCAGACUCCUACGGGAGGCAGCAGUAGGGAAUCUUCCGCAAUGGGCGAAAGCCUGACGGAGCAACGCCGCGUGAGUGAUGAAGGUCUUCGGAUCGUAAAACUCUGUUAUUAGGGAAGAACAUAUGUGUAAGUAACUGUGCACAUCUUGACGGGACCUAAUCAGAAAGCCACGGCUAACUACG